GUUUAAGUUUAUUAUGAAAAGUGUGUGAAGAAUGAAGGAGAGAGAUAUAAUGAGGUUGAGAAGAGAAUGGAUAAGAGAUACGGAUCAUGGAUCAUGGAAUGGAUGGGAGAUACUUGACGUUAGAUCAAGUACUCGCGUUGCAUUGGUGUGAGUUUUAUUUGAAAAGCAACUUGACGUUGGAUCAAGUACCUUUUGUUUCUUUUGAAAUGCUUUAUUUUUAUCGUUUGUUUUUAUCUUUUUAGUUAGUAUACAUGAUGUAUUACUACAAGAA
rnacentral:lncRNA from 1 species